GGGUUGUGAGGUUAAGCGACUAAGCGUACACGGUGGAUGCCCUGGCAGUCAGAGGCGAUGAAGGGCGUGCUAAUCUGCGAUAAGCGCCGGUAAGGUGAUAUGAACCGUUAUAACCGGCGAUACCCGAAUGGGGAAACCCAGUGUGACUCGUCACACUAUCAUUAACUGAAUCCAUAGGUUAAUGAGGCGAACCGGGGGAACUGAAACAUCUAAGUACCCCGAGGAAAAGAAAUCAACCGAGAUUCCCCCAGUAGCGGCGAGCGAACGGGGAGGAGCCCAGAGCCUGAAUCAGCAUGUGUGUUAGUGGAAGCGUCUGGAAAGGCGCGCGAUACAGGGUGACAGCCCCGUACACAAAAGCGCAUGUGCUGUGAGCUCGAUGAGUAGGGCGGGACACGUGGUAUCCUGUCUGAAUAUGGGGGGACCAUCCUCCAAGGCUAAAUACUCCUGACUGACCGAUAGUGAACCAGUACCGUGAGGGAAAGGCGAAAAGAACCCCGGCGAGGGGAGUGAAAAAGAACCUGAAACCGUGUACGUACAAGCAGUGGGAGCCCCACCACCAAAGCAUUCUCUGGUGUUGAAGGCCCUGCAAAGCAGCAUCGCGGUGGCGGAGCGUCGUUUGCGACGCCCAACACACAAAACAAGCGGUGAGUGCUUUGGGGUGGGGUGACUGCGUACCUUUUGUAUAAUGGGUCAGCGACUUAUAUUCUGUAGCAAGGUU
rnacentral:rRNA from 1 species